rnacentral:rRNA from 1 species
UGCAGUCGAGCGGUAGCACAGAGAGCUUGCUCUCGGGUGACGAGCGGCGGACGGGUGAGUAAUGUCUGGGAAACUGCCUGAUGGAGGGGGAUAACUACUGGAAACGGUAGCUAAUACCGCAUAACGUCGCAAGACCAAAGUGGGGGACCUUCGGGCCUCAUGCCAUCAGAUGUGCCCAGAUGGGAUUAGCUGGUAGGUGGGGUAACGGCUCACCUAGGCGACGAUCCCUAGCUGGUCUGAGAGGAUGACCAGCCACACUGGAACUGAGACACGGUCCAGACUCCUACGGGAGGCAGCAGUGGGGAAUAUUGCACAAUGGGCGCAAGCCUGAUGCAGCCAUGCCGCGUGUGUGAAGAAGGCCUUCGGGUUGUAAAGCACUUUCAGCGGGGAGGAAGGCGGUGAGGUUAAUAACCUCAUCGAUUGACGUUACCCGCAGAAGAAGCACCGGCUAACUCCGUGCCAGCAGCCGCGGUAAUACGGAGGGUGCAAGCGUUAAUCGGAAUUACUGGGCGUAAAGCGCACGCAGGCGGUCUGUCAAGUCGGAUGUGAAAUCCCCGGGCUCAACCUGGGAACUGCAUUCGAAACUGGCAGGCUAGAGUCUUGUAGAGGGGGGUAGAAUUCCAGGUGUAGCGGUGAAAUGCGUAGAGAUCUGGAGGAAUACCGGUGGCGAAGGCGGCCCCCUGGACAAAGACUGACGCUCAGGUGCGAAAGCGUGGGGAGCAAACAGGAUUAGAUACCCUGGUAGUCCACGCUGUAAACGAUGUCGAUUUGGAGGUUGUGCCCUUGAGGCGUGGCUUCCGGAGCUAACGCGUUAAAUCGACCGCCUGGGGAGUACGGCCGCAAGGUUAAAACUCAAAUGAAUUGACGGGGGCCCGCACAAGCGGUGGAGCAUGUGGUUUAAUUCGAUGCAACGCGAAGAACCUUACCUGGUCUUGACAUCCACAGAACUUAGCAGAGAUGCUUUGGUGCCUUCGGGAACUGUGAGACAGGUGCUGCAUGGCUGUCGUCAGCUCGUGUUGUGAAAUGUUGGGUUAAGUCCCGCAACGAGCGCAACCCUUAUCCUUUGUUGCCAGCGGUUAGGCCGGGAACUCAAAGGAGACUGCCAGUGAUAAACUGGAGGAAGGUGGGGAUGACGUCAAGUCAUCAUGGCCCUUACGACCAGGGCUACACACGUGCUACAAUGGCAUAUACAAAGAGAAGCGACCUCGCGAGAGCAAGCGGACCUCAUAAAGUAUGUCGUAGUCCGGAUUGGAGUCUGCAACUCGACUCCAUGAAGUCGGAAUCGCUAGUAAUCGUAGAUCAGAAUGCUACGGUGAAUACGUUCCCGGGCCUUGUACACACCGCCCGUCACACCAUGGGAGUGGGUUGCAAAAGAAGUAGGUAGCUUAACCUUCGGGAGGGCGC